CCUACGGGGGGCAGCAGUGAGGAAUAUUGGUCAAUGGACGAGAGUCUGAACCAGCCAAGUAGCGUGAAGGAUGACUGCCCUAUGGGUUGUAAACUUCUUUUAUAUGGGAAUAAAAUGUUCCACGUGUGGGAUUUUGUAUGUACCAUAUGAAUAAGGAUCGGCUAACUCCGUGCCAGCAGCCGCGGUAAUACGGAGGAUCCGAGCGUUAUCCGGAUUUAUUGGGUUUAAAGGGAGCGUAGGUGGUUUGUUAAGUCAGUUGUGAAAGUUUGCGGCUCAACCGUAAAAUUGCAGUUGAAACUGGCAGUCUUGAGUACAGUAGAGGUGGGCGGAAUUCGUGGUGUAGCGGUGAAAUGCUUAGAUAUCACGAAGAACUCCGAUUGCGAAGGCAGUUCACUGGACUGCAACUGACACUGAGGCUCGAAAGUGUGGGUAUCAAACAGGAUUAGAUACCCUUGUAGUC
rnacentral:rRNA from 1 species